rnacentral:lncRNA from 1 species
UUGUAUCUAAUAUUCCUUAAUUUUAUCCUCAGGUUUCUUAAAACUAAGGUGCUGGUGCUCUAAUCAACCAGGAGGCUCAUGGUGGUAGCUUAGUAUGCUGGGGGGAAAUCUGGAGAAGCCUGUGUUUUUGGAGUGCUGAUCAACUCACUGUAUCUUGGAUCGUAGGAAAUGUGGUACUUUUGUUAGACUUUCAGUUCGCUCUCCAGUAUCUGCUGUAGACACCAGUAAGAUAGUUCAUUCGUCGCAAAACUGGUGCUUCUGCAAUGUUUACUCUGAUGAGAAACCUUAUUUAGGGACCUCUGCUUCUGCCAUAGGUGCUGAACUGACUAUUUGAAGGAACGGUUCAGUAUUCGCUGCCCUAAGCUAAUAUGUAUAAUUUUGUGCCAAUCGGUCGUGCAUUGAACUUGUUAAGUGAGAAGGAUGAAAUGAGGUUGCUUUUUGUGCCCUGAUGGCUCUUAAUUCAGCAGGAUGAAAUGAGUAUGUGAAGUGCACAUCUUACCAUGCGUAUGUACUGUGCUACACUUUUGCUGUAUUCGUUUUUUUCUUAAUAAUUGUUACUUAUUUUGCUACACUUUUGCAGUUUUGCUGUAUUCGUUUUUUUUAAUAAUUGUUAGCUAUUUUGCUACACUUUUGCUGUAUUCGCUUUUUGUCUUAAUAACUGUUACUUAUUAAAAAAAA